UUCAUCUCUUUCUUUCUUCCUAGUUUCCCCUAAAAAAUUUCUACACCAUCAUUUUUUAAGUUCUUCAUAAUCAUCAUCGAAAUCCAUUCCCCUUGAACAAACUCUUCUUUUUCACUAUCCCACCUCCAUUUUCUUCAUAAAAUCACAAAACUCAUAAGUUUCUUUUUUCUUCUUCUUUUCCUCUUCUUCUCUCUUUCUUCAGUGCGCCUCCAUCUCCUUUGUGUGAUUCAUGCUCAGCCAACCACUGUGCCACGACCAAUGUUGGUCCUCUGGUGUUCAUCCAUGCUAUCGGUUCAUCCCUAUCGCCAUUCGUAUGCCAUCACUAGCUAUGGGUCUCUCUUUCACAUGAUUCGUGUUUCCUCAGCCCAUUUUCAGUGCCACUUUGGUUUUCUCACUACCAAUCUUUCCCAUGGUCAGUAUCAACCCCAUUUCCAUAGCAGCGAGAGGUGUUUCUAUGGGUUUCUCUUCUUCACUUGGUAGCUCUUCAAGUGUUGGUCCCUCUACUAUAGGUUCUUUUAAGACAAUAAGUGUUCUUAUCUCAUUUUUGUUACUCUUCUACUUACUUUCCCUAGUGCUUUCUAAUUGUCCUUAACUCCUCUGUUCAUUCAUUUUGCAGAACCUAAGUGUGGCCAAUGUCAUUAUUGGUCCUUUGCAUACUA